AACGAACGCUGGCGGCAUGCCUAACACAUGCAAGUCGAACGAGACCUUCGGGUCUAGUGGCGCACGGGUGCGUAACGCGUGGGAACCUGCCCUUAGGUUCGGAAUAACUCUCCGAAAGGGGUGCUAAUACCGGAUAAUGUCUUCGGACCAAAGAUUUAUCGCCUUUGGAUGGUCCCGCGUUGGAUUAGCUAGUUGGUAGGGUAAAAGCCUACCAAGGCGACGAUCCAUAGCUGGUCUGAGAGGAUGAUCCGCCACACUGGGACUGAGACACGGCCCAGACUCCUACGGGAGGCAGCAGUGGGGAAUAUUGGAAAAUGGGCGAAAGGCUGAUCCAGCAAUGCCGCGUGAGUGAUGAAGGCCUUAGGGUUGUAAAGCUCUUUUACCCGGGAUGAUAAUGACAGUACCGGGAGAAUAAGCUCCGGCUAACUCCGUG
rnacentral:rRNA from 1 species